AACUUUUAGCAAUGGAUCUCUUGGCUCUCGCAUCGAUGAAGCACGCAGCGAAAUGCGAUAAGUACUGUGAAUUGCAGAAUUCAGUGAAUCAUCGAAUCUUUGAACGCACCUUGCGCUCCUUGGUAUUCCGAGGAGCAUGCCUGUUUGAGUGUCUUGAAGUCAUCAGCUCCUCCCGUUUCGUGCGGGCGGGGUUGGAUCUGGGGGUUUGCCGCUGCGAGGCGGCUCCCCUCAAAUGUGUCGAUCGGGCCUGUGGGUCGAACUCGACUGGGCGUUGUAUCAUCCUCGCUCUACCGAGAAGUUCCCCUCCUGCGCCCGAUCCCGACCUGCCUUUGGAGUGGCGGUCAAGCUAAACUUUGAAAUCUGACCUCAAAUCAGGUAGGACUACCCGCUGAACUUAAGCAUAUCAAUAAGCGGAGGCU
rnacentral:misc_RNA from 1 species